GUGGUCGAGGGAGGACGCGGGCUGUUAUCUAUCUCCUUCCCGUAUUUCAACACAUAUAAACCCCAGUACAUUACUCUAUAUUAAGUGUUAAACUAAACCAGUGUAUAGAACCGAAAAUAAACCAGAUUAUAAGUGAAAUACAUAAUCUACCGAGAAAAACAUUGAUCCGUUCUGAAUGUAAUACAAUCAACUAACUCAACUAUUGGCUUUUUCAAUUCAUCUUUAAAGGCUGAUAUAACCUGCCAGAGACUACCCCAGGCUGAUAUAACCUGCCACAGACUACCCCAGGCUGAUAUAACCUGCCAGAGACUACCCAGGCUGAUAUGACACACUAACAACUUGUGCAGAAUAAGAUACUGUGAUGUCACAUCUCAAGACCAAGUGUAAC